rnacentral:tRNA from 1 species
CCUUCGAUAGCUCAGUUGGUAGAGCGGAAGACUGUAGAUCCUUUGGUCGUUGAUUCAAAUCAGGCUCGAAGGA